rnacentral:sRNA from 1 species
GCGAGUAGUGCCCCGCCUGUUCAGGCUGU